rnacentral:lncRNA from 1 species
AGGAGCCCUCCAUGGCAGUGCUUGAGUGUCGGGGCUCUGAGUCUCCGGCCUGACCUCUCCACGUGGUCGACGGGAACGUCCCCAGAUGCCAGGAUUCGCAAAGGGCUGACCAGGAUGGCGAAACCUUAGGCAGAGUCCGGGGAAAGCAGCACGGCAUCCCAGCCUCAGGCCUGCCCGGACGGUGUUGGUUGGGGUAAGAUUGGGGAAGAUGCCAGGUGAUAGAAUCCACCCUGCCUCUGACAGCAUCCAAUCUGGAGCAAAGGCUUAUUUCAACCCUCCCCCAAGCUCCCAAUACAAGCCCAAAUUCUGGAACAGGUCCUUUCCAACACCUCCUUCAGAGAAGCUCCCUGGCUCCAGGCAGUGCUUGCUCCCCUCACUGCAGCAGGAAGCCUAACUUGCGAACUGCAGGUGUGCUCCAGGUGGUCACUGGAUGCAAGGCAUUGACAGAUGGAUCCCAUCGAUACCCCCACUGCAAAACCAUAGUGCAGUGAAUAGAAGACACUUCUCUGCACCCCAAAAGCUCCAUGCUGAUUGUGAGAAGGAAAUGCUGGAUGGAGGGGUUCCUGGAACUACUGUGAGGGAAAUGGUGCGAGAACUUUGGAUGUGGAACGUGGAGGAGGAGGAACACGAAGUGGGGAUCUGCACUUGGGGUGGUCAGCACUGCGGAUGCCCAGCAAAGUCACUGCCUGGUCCACAUCCCGGAGGGGUCUCUGCGCCUCAGUCGGCAUCGCAGCUGAUGGUGAAACUUUUGGUGUGGCAGAAGAGUGUCCACAAACUUCGGAAGUUGCUAGAGAAAACUGAAAACUACUAGUUUUGAAAGCCUCACUUCUGCCAAUGGAAGCACAUUCCAGCAUGUCGCCAACGCAAUCCACUUUCCACCACUUUCACAAAAAACGUUACUGCACAAUUAUACUAUCCUACCCUUA